GGACGGGUGAGUAAUGCUGGGAAACUGCCCGAUGAGGGGGGAUAACUACUGGAAACGGUAGCUAAUACCGCAUAACGUCGCAAGACCAAAGAGGGGGACCUUCGGGCCUCUUGCCAUCGGAUGUGCCCAGAUGGGAUUAGUUAGUAGGUGGGGUAACGGCUCACCUAGGCGACGAUCCCUAGCUGGUCUGAGAGGAUGACCAGCCACACUGGAACUGAGACACGGUCCAG
rnacentral:rRNA from 1 species